GUCAUCUCAUUCAAAUCAAGUAAUGCUUUAUCUGUGUGUCAGGAAGUCGGUGGUUGCUGCGAACCGAUCAGGGUAAAUGUCGUGAAAUACUGAAUGAAGACUUCGGCUAAUUAACAGGACCGUUAUCCCCUGUAAGAGUGGCGUGUUGUCUUAAAUUGGCGCGCUAACUGGGUGGUACCGCGGUUUCCAAUCGUCCCUAUU
rnacentral:ncRNA from 1 species